rnacentral:rRNA from 1 species
UUGGUGCCGUCGGGAACUCUGAGACAGGUGCUGCAUGGCUGUCGUCAGCUCGUGUUGUGAAAAUGUUGGGUUAAGUCCCGCAACGAGCGCGACCCUUAUCCUUUNUUGCCAGCGGUUCGGCCGGGAACUCAAAGGAGACUGCCAGNGAUAAACUGGAGGAAGGUGGGGAUGACGUCAAGUCAUCAUGGCCCUUACGAGUAGGGCUACACACGUGCUACAAUGGCAUAUACAAAGAGAAGCGACCUCGCGAGAGCAAGCGGACCUCA